rnacentral:rRNA from 1 species
UACAGAGGGGGCAAGCGUUGUUCGGAAUCACUGGGCGUAAAGCGCACGUAGGCGGCUUGUUAAGUCAGGGGUGAAAUCCUGGAGCUCAACUCCAGAACUGCCUUUGAUACUGGCGAGCUCGAGUCCGGGAGAGGUGAGUGGAACUGCGAGUGUAGAGGUGAAAUUCGUAGAUAUUCGCAAGAACACCAGUGGCGAAGGCGGCUCACUGGCCCGGUACUGACGCUGAGGCACGAAAGCGUGGGGAGCAAACAGG